rnacentral:rRNA from 1 species
AAUCAACGCUGGCGGCGUGCCUCAGACAUGCAAGUCGAACGCGAAAGGUUCCUUCGGGGACCGAGUAGAGUGGCGCACGGGUGAGUAACACGUAGGUAAUUUGCCUUUGGGUGGGGAAUAACUCAGGGAAACUUAGAGCUAAUACCGCAUAAUGCAGCGGCUCGACAUCGAGACAGUUGUUAAAGCGGGGGAGUUCGCAAGAACCUCGCGCCUAAAGAGAAGCCUGCGGCAGAUAGCUAGUUGGUAAGGUAAUGGCUUACCAAGGCGACGAUCUGUAACCGGCCUGAGAGGGCGGUCGGUCACACUGACACUGACAUACGGGUCAGACUCCUACGGGAGGCAGC